rnacentral:pre_miRNA from 13 species
AUGUCGGGAUGGUCCCGGCAGCGCGCCGGCACCUUGGCUGUAGACUGCUUUACUGCCCGGGCCGCCCUCAGUAACAGUCUCCAGUCACGGACACCGACGCCCGGCCCCGCCCCCGGAGCCCCC